GUCCUUAUCGUCUAAUUGGUUAGGACACCACUCUUUCACAGUGAAAACAUGGGUUCAAAUCCCUUUAAGGAUA
rnacentral:tRNA from 1 species